CUGUGAGCUCAUGAAAAACAAUCAACUCUGGAUCAUCAGUAAGAAGAAACAUUUUAUUCACAGAUUUCUUCUUCCUCAUGCGGUGGAUGCGGGAUGCCAGCUGGAUCGUCGUGAGUGAGUCAGCGUAGUUGGCGGGGGAAUCGGAGAUGUGGGCGAUCAUGGUGGUUCUGCAAUUGAUGUUGCCAAGGGACUCCCUCAACAACAUGGACCUUCUCACAGCUCCCCAGGUCGAUGAGGUGCAGCCUGCUCCGUCCGCCUGACACUGUGCCAAGGACAGAAGCAGAACCAGAAAAGAGAUGAAUCAAGCAUCAGGAGUCACCAUGAAGGAAAAUAAAUUUAAAAAAAAGCCACUAUACUGAUUUAUAAUUGUCUUGACCAGUGAGGAGUGCUCGCAACCUAAAGCUGUAACCUUGAGGUUUUA